CCAAGGGGUGGGGAAUAUUGGACAAUGGGGGGAACCCUGAUCCAGCCAUCUGCCGCGUGUGUGAAGAAGGCCUUCGGGUUGUAAAGCACUUUAAUUUGGGAGGAAGGGCUUACGGUUAAUAACCGCUAAGUUUUGACGUUACCAAAAGAAUAAGCACCGGCUAACUUCGUGCCAGCAGCCGCGGUAAUACGAAGGGUGCGAGCGUUAAUCGGAAUUACUGGGCGUAAAGCGCGCGUAGGUGGUUCAUUAAGUUAGGAGUGAAAGCCCCGGGCUCAACCUGGGAAUUGCUUCUAAAACUGGUGAUCUAGAGUACGGUAGAGGGUGGUGGAAUUUCCUGUGUAGCGGUGAAAUGCGUAGAUAUAGGAAGGAACAUGCAGUGGCGAAGGCGACCACCUGGACUGAUACUGACACUGAGGUGCGAAAGCCGUUGGGGACAAACAGGAUUAGAUCCCU
rnacentral:rRNA from 1 species